AGAGUUUGAUCAUGGCUCAGGAUAAACGCUGGCGGCGUGCUUAACACAUGCAAGUCGAACGAGGGACAGAAGACGAGAUCUUUGGAUUAAAUUGACUGUUUCGAGUGGCGGACGGGUGAGUAACGCGUGGGGAACCUGCCUUAUACUGAGGGACAACAGCUGGAAACGGCUGCUAAUACCUCAUAUGCGCACAGGAAGGCAUCUUCCGGUGUGGAAAGAAAUUCGGUAUAAGAUGGCCCCGCGUCUGAUUAGGCAGUUGGUGAGAUAACAGCCCACCAAACCGACGAUCAGUAGCCGACCUGAGAGGGCGAACGGCCACAUUGGGACUGAGACACGGCCCAGACUCCUACGGGAGGCAGCAGUGGGGAAUAUUGCACAACGGAGGAAACUCUGAUGCAGCGACGCCGCGUGAGUGAAGAAGUAUUUCGGUAUGUAAAGCUCUAUCAGCAGGGAAGAUAAUGACGGUACCUGACUAAGAAGCCCCGGCUAACUACGUGCCAGCAGCCGCGGUAAUACGUAGGGGGCAAGCGUUAUCCGGAUUUACUGGGUGUAAAGGGAGCGUAGACGGUUCAGCAAGUCCGAUGUGAAAGGCGGAGGCUCAACUUCCGAAUUGCAUUGGAAACUGUCGGGCUGGAGUGCCGGAGAGGUAAGCGGAAUUCCUAGUGUAGCGGGUGAAAUGCGUAGAUAUUAGGAGGAACACCAGUGGCGAAGGCGGCUUUCUGGACUGAAACUGACACUGAGGCACGAAAGCGUGGGGAGCAAACAGGAUUAGAUACCCUGGUAGUCCACGCCGUAAACGAUGAGCACUAGKUGUCGGGGGAGAACCCUCGGUGCCGGAGUUAACGCAAUAAGUGCUCCGCCUGGGGAGUACGCACGCAAGUGUAAAACUCAAAGGAAUUGACGGGGACCCGCACAAGCAGCGGAGCAUGUGGUUUAAUUCGAAGCAACGCGAAGAACCUUACCAGGUCUUGACAUCCUCUUGAAAGCCGGGGUAACGCCCGGACCUCUUCGGACAAGAGAGACAGGUGGUGCAUGGUUGUCGUCAGCUCGUGUCGUGAGAUGUUGGGUUAAGUCCCGCGACGAGCGCAACCCUCGCCUUUAGUUGCCAGCGAUUCGGUCGGGCACUCUAGAGGGACUGCCGGGGACAACUCGGAGGAAGGUGGGGAUGACGUCAAAUCAUCAUGCCCCUUAUGAUCUGGGCUACACACGUGCUACAAUGGCCGGUACAACAGGAAGCGAAGGAGUGAUCCGGAGCGAAUCCCCAAAGCCGGUCCCAGUUCGGAUUGUAGGCUGCAACCCGCCUACAUGAAGUCGGAGUUGCUAGUAAUCGCGGAUCAGAAUGCCGCGGUGAAUGCGUUCCCGGGUCUUGUACACACCGCCCGUCACACCAUGGAAGUUGGGGGUGCCCGAAGUUGGUUAAUUAAUCUACUACCUAAGGCAAAACCAAUGACUGGGGUGAAGUCGUAACAAGGUAACCGUA
rnacentral:rRNA from 1 species